GACGAACGCUGGCGGCGUGCUUAACACAUGCAAGUCGAACGGAAAGGCCCUGCUUUUGUGGGGUGCUCGAGUGGCGAACGGGUGAGUAACACGUGAGUAACCUGCCCUUGACUUUGGGAUAACUUCAGGAAACUGGGGCUAAUACCGGAUAGGAGCUCCUGCUGCAUGGUGGUGGUUGGAAAGUUUCGGCGGUUGGGGAUGGACUCGCGGCUUAUCAGCUUGUUGGUGGGGUAGUGGCUUACCAAGGCUUUGACGGGUAGCCGGCCUGAGAGGGGGACCGGCCACAUUGGGACUGAGAUACGGCCCAGACUCCUACGGGAGGCAGCAGUGGGGAAUAUUGCACAAUGGGCGGAAGCCUGAUGCAGCAACGCCGCGUGCGGGAUGACGGCCUUCGGGUUGUAAACCGCUUUCGCCUGUGACGAAGCGUGAGUGACGGUAAUGGGUAAAGAAGCACCGGCUAACUACGUG
rnacentral:rRNA from 1 species